AGUGAACGCUGGCGGUAGGCCUAACACAUGCAAGUCGAACGGCAGCACAGUAAGAGCUUGCUCUUACGGGUGGCGAGUGGCGGACGGGUGAGGAAUACAUCGGAAUCUACUUUUUCGUGGGGGAUAACGUAGGGAAACUUACGCUAAUACCGCAUACGACCUACGGGUGAAAGCCGGGGAUCUUCGGACCUUGCGCGAUUGAAUGAGCCGAUGUCGGAUUAGCUAGUUGGCGGGGUAAAGGCCCACCAAGGCGACGAUCCGUAGCUGGUCUGAGAGGAUGAUCGGCCACACUGGAACUGAGACACGGUCCAGACUCCUACGGGAGGCAGCAGUGGGGAAUAUUGGACAAUGGGCGCAAGCCUGAUCCAGCCAUACCGCGUGGGUGAAGAAGGCCUUCGGGUUGUAAAGCCCUUUUGUUGGGAAAGAAAAGCAGCAGGUUAAUACCCCGCUGUUCUGACGGUACCCAAAGAAUAAGCACCGGCUAACUUCGUG
rnacentral:rRNA from 1 species